AAAACGGAGAGUUUGAUCCUGGCUCAGGAUGAACGCUGGCGGUAUGCUUAACACAUGCAAGUCGAACGGGCUCUUCGGAGCUAGUGGCGGACGGGUGAGUAACGCGUGAGAAUCUGGCUUCAGGUUCGGGACAACAGUUGGAAACGGCUGCUAAUACCGGAUGUGCCUGUGGGUGAAAGAUUUAUCACCUGAAGAUGAGCUCGCGUCUGAUUAGCUAGUAGGUGUGGUAAGAGCGCACCUAGGCGACGAUCAGUAGCUGGUCUGAGAGGAUGACCAGCCACACUGGGACUGAGACACGGCCCAGACUCCUACGGGAGGCAGCAGUGGGGAAUUUUCCGCAAUGGGCGAAAGCCUGACGGAGCAAUACCGCGUGAGGGAGGAAGGCUCUUGGGUUGUAAACCUCUUUUCUCAGGGAAGAAUUCAUGACGGUACCUGAGGAAUCAGCAUCGGCUAACUCCGUGCCAGCAGCCGCGGUAAUACGGAGGAUGCAAGCGUUAUCCGGAAUGAUUGGGCGUAAAGCGUCCGCAGGUGGCAAUGUAAGUCUGCUGUCAAAGCGUCUGGCUCAACCAGAUAAAGGCAGUGGAAACUACAUAGCUAGAGUAAGGUAGGGGUAGAGGGAAUUCCUGGUGUAGCGGUGAAAUGCGUAGAGAUCAGGAAGAACACCGGUGGCGAAAGCGCUCUGCUGGACCUURWCUGACACUGAGGGACGAAAGCUAGGGGAGCGAAUGGGAUUAGAUACCCCAGUAGUCCUAGCCGUAAACGAUGGAUACUAGGCGUUGCCCGUAUCGACCCGGGCAGUGUCGUAGCUAACGCGUUAAGUAUCCCGCCUGGGGAGUACGCAGGCAACUGUGAAACUCAAAGGAAUUGACGGGGGCCCGCACAAGCGGUGGAGUAUGUGGUUUAAUUCGAUGCAACGCGAAGAACCUUAC
rnacentral:ncRNA from 1 species